GACGUCAAAUAUCCACGUCAUAAACACGAUCAAAUUUGGUGUUUAUGACGUCGAUAUAAGACGUCAUAAAGACGAUCAACUUUGGUGUUUAUGGCGUCGAUAUUCGACGUCAUAAACACGAUCAACUUUGCUGUUUAUGACGUCGAUAUUCAACGUCAUAAACACGAUCAACUUUGGUGUUUAUGACGUCGAUAUUCGACGUCAAAAACACGAUCAACUUUGGUGUUUAUGACGUCGAUAUUCGACGUCAUAAACACGAUCAACUUUGGUGUUUAUGGCGUCGAUAUUCGACGUC
rnacentral:miRNA from 1 species